CUGGAUGCAGUAGUCUCACUAUGGUCUUACCAAUGCCAAGUAGAGUGGGAGAAUCACUUCUUUGGUUUUGAGGAGAUACAUCGAUUGAUGCAUGUCAGGGUAUUAACUGCUCUUCUG